GACGAACGCUGGCGGCGUGCUUAACACAUGCAAGUCGAACGGAAAGGCCCUGCUUUUGUGGGGUGCUCGUGUGGCGAACGGGUGAGUAACACGUGAGUAACCUGCCCUUGACUUUGGGAUAACUUCAGGAAACUCGGGCUAAUACCGGAUAGGAGCUCCUGCUGCAUGUUGGGGGUUGGAAAGUUUCGGCGGUUGGGGCUGGACUCGCGGCUUAUCCGCUUGUUGGUGGGGUAGUGGCUUACCAAGGUUGCGACGGAUAGCCGGCCUGAGAGGGGUAACGGCGACAUGGCGACUACGGGACGGAGCAGACUGGAACGGGAGGCAGUGGGGGAGAGUAUGGCGCAACGGGGGGAAGCGUGAUACAGCAACGCUGCGUGCGGAAUACCGGCCUUCGGGUGGUGAACCGCUUUGGAAUGUGACGAAGAGUGAGUGACGGUAAUGGGUAAAGAAGCACCGGCUAACUACGUG
rnacentral:rRNA from 1 species